UACGGAGGGUGCAAGCGUUAAUCGGAAUUACUGGGCGCAAAGCGUGCGUAGGUGGUUCGUUAAGUCCGUUGUGAAAGCCCCGAGCUCAACUUGGGAAUUGCAGUGGAUACUGGCGAGCUGGAGUGCGGUAGAGGAAGGUGGAAUUCCCGGUGUAGCGGUGAAAUGCGUAGAGAUCGGGAGGAACACCAGUGGCGAAGGCGGCCUUCUGGACCAGCACUGACACUCAAGCACGAAAGCGUGGGGAGCAAACAGG
rnacentral:rRNA from 1 species